AUGCAAGUCGAGCGGUAGCACAGAGAGCUUGCUCUCGGGUGACGAGCGGCGGACGGGUGAKUAAUGUCUGGGAAACUGCCUGAUGGAGGGGGAUAACUACUGGAAACGGUAGCUAAUACCGCAUAAUGUCGCAAGACCAAAGUGGGGGACCUUCGGGCCUCAUGCCAUCARAUGUGCCCAGAUGGGAUUAGCUAGUAGGUGGGGUAACGGCUCACCUARGCRACGAUCCCUAGCUGGUCUGARAGGAUGACCAGCCACACUGGAACUGAGACACGGUCCASACUCCUACGGGAGGCAGCAGUGGGGAAUAUUGCACAAUGGGCGCAAGCCUGAUGCAKCCAUGCCGCGUGUGUGAAGAAGGCCUUCGGGUUGUAAAGCACUUUCAGCGGGGAGGAAGGCGKUAAGGUUAAUAACCUUGUCGAUUGACGUUACCCGCARAAGAAGCACCGGCUAACUCCGUGCCAGCAGCCGCGGUAAUACGGAGGGUGCAAGCGUUAAUCGGAAUUACUGGGCGUAAAGCGCACGCAGGCGGUCUGUCAAGUCGGAUGUGAAAUCCCCGGGCUCAACCUGGGAACUGCAUUCGAAACUGGCAGGCUAGAGUCUUGUAGAGGGGGGUAGAAUUCCAGGUGUAGCGGUGAAAUGCGUAGAGAUCUGGAGGAAUACCGGUGGCGAAGGCGGCCCCCUGGACAAAGACUGACGCUCAGGUGCGAAAGCGUGRGGARCAAACAGGAUUARAUACCCCUGGUAGUCCACGCCCRUAAACRAUGUCSAUUUGRAGGMUGUGCCCUUUGAGGUKUGKCUUCCCGGAGCUAACRCGUUUAAUCGACC
rnacentral:rRNA from 1 species